rnacentral:rRNA from 1 species
CUAGCCGUAAACGAUGGAUACUAGGCGUUGUGAGUAUCGACCCUCACAGUGUCGUAGCUAACGCGUUAAGUAUCCCGCCUGGGGAGUACGCGCGCAAGCGUGAAACUCAAAGGAAUUGACGGGGGCCCGUACAAGCGGUGGAGUAUGUGGUUUAAUUCGAUGCAACGCGAAGAACCUUACCAGGACUUGACAUGUCGCGAAUCUCAGGGAAACUUGAGAGUGCCUUCGGGAGCGCGAACACAGGUGGUGC